rnacentral:rRNA from 1 species
UACGGGGGGGGUAAGCGUUGUUCGGAAUUACUGGGCGUAAAGGGCUCGUAGGCGGCCAACUAAGUCAUACGUGAAAUCCCUCAGCUUAACUGGGGAACUGCGUGUGAUACUGGAUGGCUUGGAUUUGGGAGAGGGAUGCGGAAUUCCAGGUGUAGCGGUGAAAUGCGUAGAUAUCUGGAGGAACACCGGUGGCGAAGGCGGCUACCUGGACAGAAACUGACGCUGAGGCGCGAAAGCUAGGGGAGCAAACAGG